UACGGGGGGAGCAAGCGUUGUUCGGAUUUACUGGGCGUAAAGGGCGCGUAGGCGGUCAGCACAAGUCAGUUGUGAAAUCUCCGGGCUUAACUCGGAAAGGUCAACUGAUACUGUGCGACUAGAGUGCAGAAGGGGCAACUGGAAUUCUCGGUGUAGCGGUGAAAUGCGCAGAUAUCAGGAGGAACACCGGUGGCGAAGGCGGGUCUCUGGGCCGAUACUGACGCUGAGGAGCGAAAGCGUGGGGAGCAAACAGG
rnacentral:rRNA from 1 species